GCACAAAUUAAUCUUCAGAUAGGGGCAUGUCUUACAAGAAUUUACAUGCUAGCACUUUAAUUGUCAGAAGAUAGUUUCUAUUAGGCAGAUGGACUGUGAAUGAGUAACAGCAUAUCCCAUUAGUGGAAGGAAAAAAGAGAAAUGAAGGUCUUUUUGGUGACCGGAGAGCAGAGCUCAGGAGAUGGAGUUGAGCUGAAGCAUGGAUUCCCACUCUGAGCUGGGGCAAUUUGCAUCGUGGUGGGGCCCUAACCUCUGCUUGGACUUCCAGGUGCAAUGUCAUGAUAAUCAUCCUCUCCUAAGAACACAUGCUGGGUAUCAGCACAUAGGGGAGGACAGGAAUGAGGAAAGGAUGAGGGCAGCGUGUCAGAUGAUGCCUCCACUUCACGGUGGUAUGAAGGACCAUGGGUAAAUUCUUCACGCUGAUGGUUGCAUGACUUUCAGACCCCAUGAGCUGGAUGUAGCUGUCUUGGACUGAUAAGAUCCUUCCCCCUCAAAACACAGCCUUCAGGAGCAUCAGGAGCUCUGCUUACCGCUUGCUGCUUUGCUCCCGCCUUGCAAAAGGAAUAAAAUAAUGGUGAUCUUGUUAAGAGAAAUGCAUUUGUCAGCACUCUGAAUUUUAAUAUGAACUGACAGUGGAUCUCAGUGAUAAAGACGAAGCCUAAUGCGGAUGGUAAUUUUUCAGGGACCUUGCUAACAUAUGUUAUCCACCGGCUUUCUUUUGUUCACUGCUGUGAAUUAUCAACUGACUCAAGGCAAUAGAGGGAAAAAAGUUACAUUUCUCACUGUGUCACUUUCCUAACAUCAUCCAAAGCUCACUGUAAUAAUUUAAUUUUGCAGAGAAAGCACAGUUUAUUACAUUUCUCCUCCCACUCAACCCCAGCAUUCUGUAGACAGGUAUUGAAGGUGAUUGACUAAAAGUUGUGAUUGGUAGUUAGCAACAAGGUCUCACAAAAUUCUCAAGAAAUUCAUUUCUCUCAGGGAAAAAAAAAAAAAACCAAAAACAAAACAAAACAAACAAACAAACAAAAACAUUUACUAGACCUCCAGAAAGGAAGUUUGAUCCAAUGCAUGAUCAGAACCAAUCUUUAACAAGGAAAAUUCAAUAAGACUUGUAGAAAGAUUAUGAUUAAACAACCUCAGGAAAAUUUUCCUGUCCAGCUUUAGUAGAAAGCAAUUUUUUGUGCAAAGCAUUUCUGCUGAAAAUAGGGGUUAUAUAGAACAUGAAUAAACAUCACUCUGAUAUUUGUUACUUUUUCAGGCAAAAGUGAAACUUUGGUGUUUAUUUCAGAAGUUAUUUUGCUAAAAGCAGUCAUUAAAGAAUUGCAACAAAUGCACUUGAAGCUGUGUAUUUAUACUGUUUAAACAGUGAAACUUCUGAGGUCGGUUGAACCAAGCAAAGUUAUAGAAUAUGUAUAGAAUAGCUAUAGAAUAGCUGCAGUUUCUUCCUCGAUUCUUUCUGAAUGUCCAAUAUUUAUGUUAAAAUCAUGUCUGUCAAUAAUCCUGAGCCAUUUUCCUGUAGCUCACUUCAGUUUUCUACGUAGAGAGGAAUUCCACAAUAAAAGGAAUUUCCUUGAUGAUCUGUAAAGGCACAAUCUUUCACCACUACAGUCUCAAAAGUUACCUCACCAAAGCUGUUGGUGCUAGCCAUAUUUUAUACCAUUCAGCAGAAUAUGAUGUAUUGAGUCAACGUCUCUAAUCUGGAAACCCCCACUAUUCACACCAAAUUUAAUCACCUCUUCUGAAAAAUGUGGAAAAUAACCUUUAAAGUAGUCAUUAAGAGUAUUGCUUGGAGUGUCAUAUAAAUAUCUUAUUUACAGAAGUCUUGAAUGCCAUAUAUUCAGAGGGAGAUGUGCCAAAAACUGCUAAUUACACUGUUACUUAAUGCCAAACAGGUAAUUGCAUUCAGCCCACUUAAAUGCUUGCUGCAAUCUGGGUUGCUUCAGCAGCUGAGGAAGGAUUACAGAAGCACAGAGUUGUAAGGGUUGAAAAGGACCUCUGGAGAUCAUCAUCUAGUCCAACCCCCCUGCUAAAGCAGGUUCCCUAGAGUAGUUUGCACAGGAGAGUCCAGGAGGGUUCUGAGUAUCUCUAGAGAAAGAGACUCCACAACCUCUCGGGGCAGCCUGUUCCAGUGCUCUGUCACCCUCUAAGUCAAGAAGCUUUUCCUCAUGUUUGUAUGGAACUUCCUAUGUUCCAGUUUAUGCCCAUUGUCCCUUUUUCUGUUGCUGGAUACUGUUAAAAACAGUCUGGUAGCAUCCUCUUGACAUCCACCCUUCAGAUUUUUGUAAGCAUUGAGAAGAUCCUCUCAGCCUUCUCUUAUACAGGCUGAAUGGUCCCAGGUCUUUCAGCUUUUCCUCAUUAAAGAGAUGUUCCAGGCCUCUCAUCAUCUUCCUAAUCCUCUGCUGGAGUCUCCAGCAGUUCCUGGUCUCUCUUGAACUGAGGAACCCAGAACUGGACACAAUACUCCAGAGGUAGCCUUGCUAGGGCAGGGUGGAGGGAAACGAUCACCUCCCUCGACCUGCUGGCUGUGCUCUUUACAAUGCUCCCCAGGAUACAGUUGGCCUUCAGGGGCACUCUGCUGAAUCAUGGUCAACUUGUUGGCCAACAGGCACUCUCUGCAGAGCUCCUUUCCAGCACGUCAGCCGCUAGCCUGUACUGAUGCAUGAAGUUAUUCCUCCACGGGUGUAGGACUCUACACUUGGCCUUGUUGAACCUCCUAAGAUUCCUCUUCUCCAAACUCUCCAGCCUCUCCAGGUCUUUCUGAGUGGCAGCACAGCCUUCUGGUGCAUCAGCCACUCCUCCCAGCUUCAUAUUAUCAGCAAACUUGCUGAGGGUGCAUUCUAUCCCUUCAUCCAGAUCAUCAGUGAAGAUGUUGAAAAAGGCCACUACCUCACCAUGCAUGUCAGUGCCCUUUCCCUGAGGGCACCAUGUACUUAACCAAACUUCUGAACAUGGAUCCAGACCUCACUGCUCAUUGCUUUCUCCUUGCAUUUAUCCCUUCUCCAUUCAGAUAACCAGGAACUUUUUUCCCAACUCAGAGACACUUGCAAAAACUCUUUUUCUCCCUUAAAAUCUUCUAAUUUCUUUACAUACUUUCUGCCCUUUUUACAGCUCCCCUCUGGGUUAUCUUCUGAUUCCUGGGACAGAGGUGACCAUCACUUGCUGAACUUGGCCCAUUCUCCCCAGCUGAUGAAUUCUUGUUAGGUUAGCUCAGUUAAAUAUUUUUUCUGCACUCCCAUUUUGAAUUAUUUGCUUUACUUAGAUAUAUGUUGGUUCAGCAAUGGAAUUAAUACUCACAUUCCUUUUUAUGCCUCAAAUCAAUUUCUGGUCAAAAGGCCAACCCAGAGGCAAGGUAUACACAGACAUGUAAAUAUACAUAUAUUUGGAACCUUUCUGGAGAGUUGCCCAAGAUUUGUGCCAACUGAUAGCUAGGGGGAAGCACAUCAAUACAAUGCGCAGGACUGAUUUGCAAAUCUAAUCCUAAUUAUUUUGCAGGCAGCCAAACCACCAGGUAUGGUGGUCCCAAGCACUGUGCAGAGCUUGUAUGCAAAAAAUAUGAAACAUACCAAACAAACAGUGGUUAAAUUUGUCAUCACAUUAAUGCAGCCAGGAGGUAAUCGGAGACAAUUUAACAGAUGUUUCAAUGCUUAAGCCAGAACAAACAGAACAGAUUAAUUUCUCCACUUUCCCUUCAGAAGCAAGUGCCAGAAAGUUCUGAAAUUUCACUGUGUAGCACAUGAAUAAAAAAAUAAUAAUUUUUUGAUCAUCAACAUAGGCAAUGUUUGCAGCCAGGCAAUCCCCAGAACCAGAAGCCAGGCUAUGAGUCCAGGCUGCUGUAUGGGAAUAGUGAGGGUGCAGUGUCAUCUGUUGAUGCCUGAUGACUCCUCUUUGAGGACAAGAAAUUUUGAAAUAUUGCACACUAUUAACUAGAAAUCCCAGAGCAGAUUACCUCUGAGUAUGAACAAGAAUCAUAGAGUCAUAGAAUAGUUCGAGUUGAAAGAGACCCUUAAAAGCCAUCUAGAUCAGCUCCUUUGCAAUGAACAGGGACAUCUACAGCUAGAUCAGGUUGCUCAGCCUCAUUCAGCCUGACCUUGGGUGUGUCCAAAGACAGGGCACCCAGACCCUCUCUGGGCAACCUAUGCCAUUGACUCUGAGUAAAAAACUUCUUCCUUUUAUCCAGUCUAAAUUGCCCCUUUUUUUUAGCUUGAAACCAUUUCCCUUUGUUUUAUCACAACAGGCCCUGCUAAAGGAUCUGUCCCCUUCUUUCUUGUAGCCCCUUUUUAGAUACACAAUAUUCCAUCCCAGUGUCAAAAUCACUACUUUUCUGAACUUCAGGACAGGUGGAACAUCAUGUCUCUUUUCUACUUUUUUUUUUUCCCUCAAUUUUUUCCCCUACACCAUAUGAUUUUGCCAGAAAUGGAUGAAACACAUGCUUACUCACUGUCUAUGCCAUCCCCCUGAUUGCAGAGGGGUGUCCCAGGGCACACGUCAAUGAGGAAUACAGCCCAGAGAUCACAAGCUACCUCUCAGAUUGCAAGACUCCCACACUUAAUUCACUGCUCUAAUUAUACCAUCAGCUGUCAUUACUCCUGUUAUUAGGAUCUGUCAUCCCAACCUAGUAAGGAGGACUGGGGGUGAGCAAGUGCCUUGGGUAUUAUGCAGGAAUCAAGGGCUUCAGCAACCAGGGUUCCUGUACCUGAGACUGCAAAAUUAAGCUGUUUUGAAGCAGUUGGUGUAGAAACUUCAGAUGCGAGGUGGUUUUUACACAGCUGCUUCCUCCCUCCAUGCAUGUGUCUAAGGGGUUGUUUUUUUCUGAUAUUUCCUAAUAUGUGUAGCUUGAAGACCAUUAAGCCUCACUCUCACAACCAAAGAGGUCUGGUCUCAUGAUGACAGUUGAUUAACACCACAAAAAAUCACUGUGUAAUUUCAGAUAUUCUCUUCUUAUCCAUAGCCUCCUCUCUAAUUUCUUUGCGAGAAGGGUGGAAUAGAGAGAGCAAAGGGUUAAAGCUCCUACCUUCCCCAGAAAAUGAUGAGUUCGCUGGGCAAUGAGUAUGCUGGCUCACAUCUAUCCACCCCAAAAGUGAAGGUUGUGUAAUAACCCCUUCCCUAACCUUUACUCAGUCGUCAUCAGCGCAGUGAUUCACCCAGCCCUGCCAUCUGCUUUCUCUGGAACUGUGAGUUGAAACCCCAGACGAAAUCAGCCAGUGUGGGGAUGGGGAGAGCUGCUGUCCCCACAACCCACUCCUACCCAGGCUCCCAACCCCAAGUAACAGCUGUAGGGUUAUAUUUAUCACAGGUGUGCAGUUGGCAUUUGACAUUAAAAAGAAAAAGAAAGGAAAAAAAAAAAAAAAAAGGCUGCCCUUCCUUUGCAGCAAGACUUCCCCUGCAUUUGCCUUUUUGAAGGUUUUGCAGUAAUUAGACAUCAUCUUCGUGACUGCCUCACCCAAACUUUGCUAGAGCUUAAACACAUCUUCCCUGUGACAACUAUUUCAGCCCUAGCAGGAUCUAAAAAAGGGUUUUAAUCCUGGUUAUUUUCUGUUCCGCUUAAUUGCCUUACCCAACACUUACACUUCAUAUAAAGACAAUCCAUCUUUUCCUCACUGGCUUUUGAAAUAAUCAUUAUCCUCCUCUGCAGAAAUUAAAUAUAUAUAUAUAUAUUAAAAAGUGAUAUGGGUAGAAGGAAACUUGACAUUGAAAACAGACUCCCAAACCAUGGAUAUCUCAAAUAAUCCAAAGACUUCACAGAGUUACUUUUUGGAGCUAAAGGAGCAUUAAUGGAGGAUGUUUUCCCCCUCCCUCCCCUGUGCUGCUUCCCCUCCCCUUUCCUCUUCCACUGAGAAGUUUCCAUGAGUAAUCCCAAAAACAAUAUUUAGAUGACUGAAAUGUUAGAGCAUAAUGUUACUGCAUAACACAGCAUGUCCAGAACUUUCCACUGGGAUGGAAAUCUUUUAUUUUCAGUAUAUUAAAGGAGAAGUAAACAUUGUGGUGAGGAUAAAAACGGAUGCUUUGAGAAAUUAUUUUACAUUUUUGCUACUUUCCUACCUUUAUGUCAACUCUUUUGGAACAACAUGAGAUUUUCUAGGAAGUGGCUUGCUGAGAAUAGAAUCCAAAUGCUUUCUGGGGAUAAAGUCAGGUUUGAUAUUAGGAAAAACUGCACCAAAUGAGUGGUGAGGCACUGGAAUGGGCUGCCUCUUGGUAGAGUCACCGUCUCUGGAGGUGUUCAAGAAAAGGGUACAUGUGGUACAUAGGGACAGGGUUUAAUGGACAGUAUUGCUGACAGGUCGACAGUUGGCCUAGAUGAUCUUAGAGAUCUUUUCCAACCUUAAUGAUUCUAUGAUUCUAUGAACUCUCAUGCACUCCCUGCUCUUUGCUCCUAUUACAUUUCUGAGCAGAUGAUCAGAUCAGCUACCAUUCCUGCAGACUACUAAACAUACCUGCUGGUAUGUUUUCCCUGGCUUUCAAGACAAUGCAAACUACUUCUGCUGCCUUCAUAUGGCAUUUAUGCAGUAUCACAAACAGCGAAGUCAGCCACUGCCUUUACCAAGCCAAACCUUCAUCCCCAGUGUAAUUUAUCAGCUUAGUCUUUCUCAUUCAAAUUUAAUCUCUUAAAGAUUUAAAUUCAGAAAACCCAUAGCUGAUAUUCCUGGAAUUGUGUGGAGCAGCCAUCUUUCCGGGAUAAGAACACUGUGACAGUAAAGCACAUUUCCGUGCAAGAUUCAGAUGAUUUGGGGGCAGCUCCUUGCUUUUCCCCAGACUUUCUGUUUGACUGUGGGUAAGCCCCACCAUUUCACCAGGAAGUAGUUUAUCAUCUCUAAAAUGGGGCUGAGAAUAUAAACUCAUUGUCUUGCUGACGGGGAGUGUUAAAAUUCCGCAAAGAAAUAAUCUAUGCAGGUCUCUUCCAAAGAGGAGGUGAUUUUGGUGGAGAUUCCCAAGACAUCUCUAAACAAGCCUGUCUAAACAAGGUAGCACCAACAGUACCAACCACAGUACAGACCUUGUUUAAGGUUUAAGCUUGUUUAAGCUCAGGUAUAUCAAAGUUAUAAAGCAGACACAGCAGUGAAUCAUGUAAUAAGGAGAGGGCUAAAGACAGGAACACUGAUUAUCUUUUAAACAUUGAAUCUGUAGUAUUAAUGUGGUAAGACCAAUAGGAAACCUGUUAUUUAUCAGUUUUGCUUUCAGAAUCAAUCUGCUUCUUACGUCUAUCAAAAGAAUUUUGGUGCACUAAAUUGGUCCAGGCAAGGAUUAUUUUUGGUUGACUGGUUGGUUUUGACUGUACUUUGGCCACUUACAGCUCACAUUUCCCACUGCAUCAGAAUCACAUAAUCAUAGAAUUGUUUGAGUUGGAACGGACCCUUAAAAGGUCAUCUAGUCCAACUCCUCUGCAGUGAACAGGGACACUUACAGCUCAAUCAGGUUGCUCUGAGCUCCAUCCAGCCUGACCUUGAAUGUCUCCCAAGGACAGGGCAUCCACCAUAUGCUUCGGCCUUGAGGAAAGGAGAUAUUCUUUUUCCACAUGUAAAAAUAAAAAAAUGUCGGUGGAAAUUCACAGGUCCUACAGUCACUUUGCUGAUCUAGCCAGCUGGCCACCUUCUUUCAUGCAAAAUGUUUCAUAUGAACAGCUCUUGCUUUAUGCUUUGUAACAUUUUCAUGUAACUCAUGAGAAGUGAUUCAUAUUUCUUUGGUAUUCUCCAAAGAUCAUACUUAGAAAUUGAGUUCUUAGAAAUUUUUAAUUCCCUUGUGUAGGUGGGACUGUGGGUGCUGUGCUCAGGUUCAUUAUGAUAAUGCAGUCUCAGAAAGUGUCACAUAAGCCACUUUACAGUAAUAAACAAUAAUAAUCAUGAAUUCACAAAAGUAUCAAGCUUCUAAUCUAAAAAAAAAAAAUGCACAGUGGAGCCAAGAAUAACAUAUCUGAGAGUGUUAUUUUACCUUUACAGCAGCCAGUUGUUCUACAUUUAACAUGUGUGAAUGAAAGCAGUAAUAGUAAAUUACCAAAUAAUUUGAACAGUAGAUUGGAAUUUGAUGUCCAUGCUUAGUCUUUGUCUUGCUAUGAGACUUUCAGAAUGAAUUCAGGAAAACUACUGAAUCCUUAUUUUCUCCUAUAAAAUGUACUAUAUACUAAUGUUUUCUUGUCCAUUUUGAUCAUAAAUUCUCCAGAUGGAAAAAGGUGAAGUAAAUGCUGAGCCUGUAUAUUGCUUAACAACGCAGGAAAUUGACAAGAAGGAUGGAUUGAAGAUACUGGUGAUUUCUGCUAGGAAUGUUCAAUGAUUCUCUUCGCAACUCCAAAUCCAGAAGUGAUUAAAAUAAUGAAUUUUCAAAGACUUUUUUUUAUAUAAUGGGAUUUUUUUUCCUAGUACUUACACAUAUAUUGAAAUGGAAAUGUGACGUGAUUUAAUUAUUGGUACUUGGAUACUAUGCCUAGUCAAAUAUCGUAUGAAAAUUUGCUAAUUUUCAAUAUCUUA